rnacentral:lncRNA from 1 species
CAAUCAAAACCAAACAAAAUGCCACAUCAUCAUCUACUCACAGAAACUUAUAUUAAUCCAAGUUGGUUCACAGAAAAAAUCUAGCAAAGUGAGUUUUCAGGAGUGAAAGUUGGGUCUUCAUAGAACAUACACUUUGACCACACUUGAUUUUCACUGCCUGAAGAUAUUACUGACGGUCUUCGUUGGUGAGGGGGUCAUUGACGGUGAUCAUCGAGUGCUUGACGUUGGAGGAUUCGAAUGACAAGGGCUAUUAUAAUUCGUCGGUUCAAAUGACAGACAGGAGUUAGUUCGCCAAAUGCUUUCGGUCUUCGUCUCCAAUGAACUUCAUCACGGUAAUCGUCAAUUGAGUAAGCUCUGGACGGUUCAGUGAAUGAGAGAGGAGAGGGUUUCAUACGUUUGGGCCUAAUGUAAGA